UGCCCUAAAACCAACGUCGACACCUCCCUUACCCGAUUCCCCUUUCUCCUCCUCCUUCGUCGUUUCUCUUCUCCCCCAAGCCCUCACGCGACGACGCCUCUUUGUCCCCCUCGCCCCAGCACCCCACAACAGGCAACUUAUUCUCCCUCGAGCCACGACCGUCGGCUCUCCUCGCACGAGCACCACACAGCUCCGCCAGGUACACCUCUCCUCAGGCCUCUGCUCUGCACAGCCCGACCUUCGGCGAAAGAGUGGGAAAUCUGAGCCCUAGCUUCUUCUCUCGUCACUGCAUUCGUGCGCUACAGCUCCGGCCACGACUGCCUGCACUGUGGACCGAUCGUUGGCCGAGACUUUCUCUCGAUCCAGCGAGAUGCUGCCCCGAAUUGGCUGAUCCUCUCUAUAGCACCACCGAUCAUCUUCUCUCCGUGCUGUGCCUUAGCUGGUCUCGCAGGUUGAACAGAGCGAUGGGUGUUAAGCUGUGACCAAGAUACUUGACUCUCCUGUCGUUAUGGAAUGGCUGAAUUGAAUUGAUUAGUUGUGAGUCCGCUUACUAGAAGUCUAGUUUUUCCAUGAUGAUUUAGAUUCAGAUGGAUGGAUUCAGUAUUGGUUUUCUAGGACACUGCUACGAGCCAAGUGUUCCGAAGUGGAGACAGCCUAGCACGAUCGACAAGUAAAGGCGGGUACUUCUUACUUUGUCUCAUUAGUUCUUUGAACUUGGUGCAUGAGCUAUUUUUGGAUAAGGACGGUUUUACCUUGACUCUACUCUUAUUUUCUUGUGCUUGAUACUUCCACUCAAACCUUUGAAUUAUUCGUUUCUAUAUCCAUACAAUCUUUUGUUGUCAUCUACUUAUAUUUAACAGAUACUGGAUACUAUGUUUGCAUGUUUUGAUGGUUGUGUAGUUCUGUUCUGUGUUGAGCAUGCUGGCUUUAUGUAGCAUACCUGAUGCUUGUUUAUAUUUAUAUAUAUGAUGACUAUUGCAUUUGGUGCAUCAUAUCAUGGCAGACAUGUCAACGACCAAUUCUCCUUUGCGGUCGAGAGAAUUGUUGACUAGGGCCGCAUCCUCGGCCACUCGACAGAGUGGUAGCUGGAGUUGAUGCCGCUUGUCCUGUCGUGCCGCACUCGGCCACUUGUAGUUGGUGGUAGCUGGAGUUGCGAGCAGCAGGGACCCCCUUCGCUGUGUAGCUAGUUAGCUACUCAGCACCUGUUCAUCCGGUCACUCGAGAGAGUGGCGGCUUUUGGGUGGUAUAGUUGUCAUUGAUCCGGUCUCUCGAUCAUACAGGGGUCGUGGUGCAGGGAGGUGGACGGGGUGACCAUCCGUGCAUACACUGUUAUUAUACUUGCUUUGACUGCUGUUGUUUGCAUAUGCUGUUGUUGAUUACUAAUGCUAUUGUUGCUAGCUUAUGUUACUGUUACUGACUUAUGUUGAUAUGCUUAUAUAUGCUGAGAUAUAUAUAUAUGUCUGUUGUGGGUGUUUAGAUUGACUUACCUAUUGGAAGUUUGUAUGUACCUUACAUAUUUCCUCUAUAGUUAUGAGCAGUACUGUAGCAGAUUAGUACCGGUUCUGACCUACUAUAACUAGCCUAGGAUAUAGUUUCAUGUACUAGAAUUUAUUUUGGUUCUAUAGUAGUAUCUGCUAUUCUUCUAAUGAGGUUGUAUACUGUUGACACUCUCUACUUACAUGUUAUGUUCAUGCACUAUCUCUUUCCUUA